rnacentral:rRNA from 1 species
UCGGGAAUUUUGGGCAAUGGGCGAAAGCCUGACCCAACAACGCCGCGUGAAGGAUGAAGUAUUUCGGUAUGUAAACUUCGAAAGAAUAGGAAGAAUAAAUGACGGUACUAUUUAUAAGGUCCGGCUAACUACGUGCCAGCAGCCGCGGUAAUACGUAGGGACCAAGCGUUGUUCGGAUUUACUGGGCGUAAAGGGCGCGUAGGCGGCAAUUCAAGUCAUCUGUGAAAUCUCCGGGCUUAACUCGGAACGGUCAGAUGAUACUGCUUUGCUAGAGUGCAGAAGGGGCAAUCGGAAUUCUUGGUGUAGCGGUGAAAUGCGUAGAUAUCAAGAGGAACACCUGAGGUGAAGACGGGUUGCUGGGCUGACACUGACGCUGAGGCGCGAAAGCCAGGGGAGCAAACGGGAUUAGAUACCCGAGUAGUCCCCUGAGCGGGCUGGCAAGGCGCAU